rnacentral:rRNA from 1 species
CGGACGGGUGAGUAAUGUCUGGGAAACUGCCUGAUGGAGGGGGAUAACUACUGGAAACGGUAGCUAAUACCGCAUAACGUCGCAAGACCAAAGAGGGGGACCUUCGGGCCUCUUGCCAUCGGAUGUGCCCAGAUGGGAUUAGCUAGUAGGUGGGGUAACGGCUCACCUAGGCGACGAUCCCUAGCUGUCUGAGAGGAUGACCAGCCACACUGGAACUGAGACACGGUCCAG